AUUGAACGCUGGCGGCAGGCCUAACACAUGCAAGUCGAACGAGUGGCGGACGGGAGAGUAAUGUCUGGGAAACUGCCUGAUGGAGGGGGAUACCUACUGGAAACGGUAGCUAAUACCGCAUACCAUCGGAUGUGCCCAGAUGGGAUUAGCUAGUAGGUGGGGUAACGGCUCACCUAGGCGACGAUCCCUAGCUGGUCUGAGAGGAGGGCCAGCCACACGUGAACUGAGACACGGUCCAGACUCCUACGGGAGGCAGCAGUGGGGAAUAUUGCACAAUGGGCGCAAGCCUGAUGCAGCCAUGCCGCGUGUGGUAAGAAGGCCUUCGGGUUGUAAAGCACUUUCAGCGGGGAGGCGUUACCCGCAGAAGAAGCACCGGCUAACUCCGUGCCAGCAGCCGCGGUAAUUC
rnacentral:rRNA from 1 species